rnacentral:rRNA from 1 species
GACGAACGCUGGCGGCGUGCCUAAUACAUGCAAGUCGAACGCUGAAGAGAGGAGCUUGCUCUUCUUGGAUGAGUUGCGAACGGGUGAGUAACGCGUAGGUAACCUGCCUUGUAGCGGGGGAUAACUAUUGGAAACGAUAGCUAAUACCGCAUAACAAUGGAUGACACAUGUCAUUUAUUUGAAAGGGGCAAUUGCUCCACUACAAGAUGGACCUGCGUUGUAUUAGCUAGUAGGUGAGGUAAUGGCUCACCUAGGCGACGAUACAUAGCCGACCUGAGAGGGUGAUCGGCCACACUGGGACUGAGACACGGCCCAGACUCCUACGGGAGGCAGCAGUAGGGAAUCUUCGGCAAUGGGGGCAACCCCGACCGAGCAACGCCGCGUGAGUGAAGAAGGUUUUCGGAUCGUAAAGCUCUGUUGUAAGACAAGAACGGGUGUGAGAGUGGAAAGUUCACACUGUGACGGUAGCUUACCAGAAAGAGACGGCUAACUACGUG